rnacentral:rRNA from 1 species
CCUACGGGAGGCAGCAGUGGGGAAUAUUGCACAAUGGGGGGAACCCUGAUGCAGCGACGCCGCGUGGGUGAAGGAGUACUUCGGUAUGUAAAGCUCUAUCAGCAGGGAAGAAAAUGACGGUACCUGAUUAAGAAGCCCCGGCUAACUACGUGCCAGCAGCCGCGGUAAUACGUAGGGGGCAAGCGUUAUCCGGAUUUACUGGGUGUAAAGGGAGCGUAGACGGCAGCGCAAGUCUGGAGUGAAAUCCCGGGGCUCAACCCCGGGACUGCUUUGGAAACUGUGAAGCUGGAGUGCAGGAGAGGCAG